AGCGAACGCUGGCGGCGUGCUUAACACAUGCAAGUCGAACGGUUGUAGCAAUACAACCGUGGCGAACGGGUGCGUAACACGUGGAUAACCUUCCUUCAGGUGGGGAAUAACCCAGUGAAAAUUGGGCUAAUACCGCAUAACAAGACGAGGGCACAUGCUUUUGUCUUCAAAGGCGCAAGUCGCCAGAAGAGGGAUCCGCGGCCGAUUAGCUAGUUGGCGGGGUAACGGCCCACCAAGGCAAUGAUCGGUAGCCGGAUUGAGAGGUUGGCC
rnacentral:rRNA from 1 species